rnacentral:RNase_P_RNA from 1 species
GCUGCUCGUCAUUAUUUGAUGGGGGGAGGAAAGUCCGGGCAGCACAGAGUACCGUACUUCCUAACGGGAAGGGUCAGCUUCGGUUGAUACAGAUAGUGCCACAGAAAAUUAAACUACUUAGUUGGACAUUGAGCGUAGUCGAAAUGACCAGUUAAGAAAAGGUGAAAAGGUGAGGUAAGAGCUCACCGGGCUGUUGGUGACAAGAGUCGCAUGGUAAACCUUACGGGCUGAAAGACCAAAUAAACCCAGGAUGAUUGAACGCAAGUUUGAUUGGAAGAGCUACUCGCUUGAUCUGGGAGGGUAGGUCGUUCGAUCCUAGUCGCGAGGCUAGGGCUAGAUAAAUGAUAAGCGUCGUGCAAACGAUUACAGAAUCCGGC